rnacentral:rRNA from 1 species
AGAUUGAACGCUGGCGGCAGGCCUAACACAUGCAAGUCGAGCGGUAGAGAGGUGCUUGCACCUCUUGAGAGCGGCGGACGGGUGAGUAAUGCCUAGGAAUCUGCCUAGUGGUGGGGGAUAACGUUCGGAAACGGACGCUAAUACCGCAUACGUCCUACGGGAGAAAGCGGGGGACCUUCGGGCCUCGCGCCAUUAGAUGAGCCUAGGUCGGAUUAGCUAGUUGGUGAGGUAAUGGCUCACCAAGGCGACGAUCCGUAACUGGUCUGAGAGGAUGAUCAGUCACACUGGAACUGAGACACGGUCCAGACUCCUACGGGAGGCAGCAGUGGGGAAUAUU